UGGAUUUGGAUUUAUGGGAGGUCCGACCCCAUGGGCCUCUCAGAGUGUCCCAUAGCAGAGCAAACUGUAACCCCCAAACCAUGGCUGGCAUUACUCCAUGGGUUUCAGACACUGAAGUGGUGGCACAGUG